UUCUGGCAGCCCAGCUCCGUUUGAGGAAUGCUGUCGGCAUUCGGGCAGGUUUGAGGUUAUCUGGAAAAGUGCAUUCGGGCUGGGGACAGAGACAGAGGUAUGGUGGCGUAUGGAAUCCUGGGACAGUGAUGGAUGGAAAAGGAAGGCCAGGGCAGGCCCACUAAGGGCCACCCCUGGGCUUGAUGGAAUGUGGCUGAUAAGAGGCCAGCCCGAUGUUGCUGGUCUGCACGUAGAGAUCACUCGGCGGCCCUUCUCAAACCCUCCCUGCACGGAGGGGUCCCGGCCGCUGCCGAGCGCUCACAGCGGGCCGGGCACUGGCCGGCCUUUCACUCCCUGACUUCAGCAGAUAGGAAGCAUUGUUACAGGCAUGGAACCGAGCCCAACGAGGUGAAGUGAGCCGCCCAAGGUCACAUAGCUGGCAAGGGCUAGGGAUCAGACUACCGACCCAGUUAUGACUCCACAUCCGCUAAGCCCUGCAUCUUCCCUCGCUUCCAAAGGAAGAAACAAAAGAGGAGCCUGAGCCGGGUUUUCUUCAGGAGGUCGACUCCUCUGACGACGAGUUUGGCAAGGCCUGGGGACGUUUCUAGUUGUGACAUCUGGAGGAAGGCUGUGCUACUGGCGUCCAGAGGGCAGAGGCCAGGGAUGCUGCUAAACAGCCCAAGAUGCAAAGGGUGUGGCCCAGCACCACCCACGCCAGAGAACUAGUCAGCUCUCAAACUCGGGAAUGCCACGCUUGGGACAACCCUGAACUGGAGGGAGAGCUUCCCCAAGGCAACGAACUUGUCUGAAUUCUGCACCGCUGUGCUCUCAGCAUCUAACGUUGUGCUGGCAGCAGAACGGUGCAGCGGUUGGGCGUGCGGCUGCUGGCAUCAGACUGCCCGGGUGUGAAUCCAGCCGCCCCACUUGCCAGCUGGGCAGUCUUGCUUGAGGUUCCCAAUUCUCUCUGUGCCUCGAUGUUCUCAUCUGUACAAUGGGAGCCAUCAGAACACCUGCCUGCAAGCAUUGGAUGGACCAGUCCUACCAAGAACACAGUACGGCCGGUAUUUACUUAGUUGCUGCUGUUGCUUCCCUCUCCCCUUGCUCUUAAAAAGGUAUUUUCUAAACGCUUCCAACUCAGUUUUCUUCCUCUUCCACCAUCCAACUUUGCAAAGGAGGACACUGGGAAACACUAAUAGCUGACAUGUUCCCAGCACUGCGUCAAGUACUGUUCCAAGCAAUUUGCAUGAACUAACCUAUUGACCUGCCCAACCCUAUGAGGUGGGCGCCGUUAUAAUCAUCAGUCCCAUUUCCCAGAUGAGGAAACUAAGGUAGGAACGAUUAAAAGUCCCAUUCUAAGCAAACAUCUUGUCCACUCUCCUCUGCCUCGAUACUCACCCACUCCUGAAUGCCUUCCAGUUACCUGUUUACUCAGAUGUCACCAUGCCAUCAUCGAUAAGGGACUGAUUAAAUAAACAUUAUCCCACCACAAAACAAUACUGUACAGCUGUGAAAAAAGAAUCUGGGGACUCUUAAUGUGCUGAUGUGAAACAAACUGUAAAGUAUAUCAUGAGUUAAAAAAAAAAAGUACAUGGCCCGAGCUGGUGCGGCUCACUAAAGGGUCACCAGUUCCGUUCCCAGUCAGAGCACAUGCCUGG